AUCUAAAAUCCUAGAGUUGGGUACUGAUGUGGGUAAUAUAAUGAUCAGUACUCACACAAUUUUCUCUCUCAUUAAAAGCAAAGAGAGAAACAAGUUUCCUUUGAAUGAUUAAAAACAAAAAGAAAAGCACAAACCACAAAGCUGCACAUCCAACGGUAUCAGCUGUUCUAACUUCCGACAGCCUCUUCAUCAAACAAGAUAACUUCAACAGAUUCCUCCGUGGCUUGCUUCCAGGAACCUGUGCUCAAUAUACCAGGAU
rnacentral:misc_RNA from 1 species